GCGGAUGUGGUGGAAUUGGUAGACACGCUAGUCUUAGGAACUAGUGCCGCAAGGCGUGAAGGUUCGAGUCCUUUCAUCCGCACCA
rnacentral:tRNA from 1 species